AAGGGUUAAAUUGAUUUAUCAUAAAUAAAUUUAUUGUAAAAAGUGAGGCUAAGAAGUCUUUGGUAAAAACUAGGAUUAGAUACCCUAUUAUUCUUAGAUGGAAAAUGAAGAGUUAAGUAGUAUUAGUUAUUUUCUUAAAAUUAAGAGAAUUUGGCGGUUAUUUAGUCUUGUUAGAGGAACCUGUUUUUUAAACGAUAAACCACGAAGAAUCUUACUUAAGUUUGUAUACCGUCAUUAUUAGAUGAUUUUUAUAGAAUAAAUUAUUUAAAAUUAAAUUGUUUCAAUAUCUUAGAUCAAGGUGCAGCUUAUAUAUAAGAAAAAAUGGGUUACAAUAAAUUUUAUUUAUUAAUGGAUUUAUUUAUAAUGAAGGAGGAUUUAAUUGUAAUAUAAAGUUAAUAAUUUUAUAUGAUAUUAGCUCUAAAUUAUGUACAUAUCGCCCGUCGCUUUC
rnacentral:rRNA from 1 species